UACGAAGGGUGCAAACGUUGCUCGGAAUUAUUGGGCGUAAAGAGCUUGUAGGCGGUUUGUCGCGUCUGCUGUGAAAUUUCGGGGCUCAACCCCGAACUUGCAGUGGGUACGGGCAGACUAGAGUGUGGUAGGGGAGACUGGAAUUCCUGGUGUAGCGGUGAAAUGCGCAGAUAUCAGGAGGAACACCGAUGGCGAAGGCAGGUCUCUGGGCCAUAACUGACGCUGAGAAGCGAAAGCAUGGGGAGCGAACAGG
rnacentral:rRNA from 1 species